UUUUUGAAAAUAAUUUAAAGUCUAAUCUGCCCACUGAUNAAAUUAUUAAAGGGCUGCAGUAUUUUGACUGUACAAAGGUAGCAUAAUCAUUAGUCUCUUAAUUGGUGACUUGUAUGAAAGAUUGGAUGAGAUAUAUACUGUCUCUAUUUAAUUUAUAAAAUUUAAUUUUUUAGUAAAAAAGCUAAAAUUAUUUUAAAAGACGAGAAGACCCUAUAGAGUUUUAUAAUUUAUUUAAUUAUUAUUAAUAUGUAAAUUUUAAAAUUAAAAUUAAAUAAAUUAUUUUGUUGGGGUGAUAGAAAAAUUAAAUUAACUUUUUUUUUAUUGUAUACAUUAAUUUAUGGAUAAAUGAUCCAUUAAUAGUGAUUAAAAGAAAAAAUUACCUUAGGGAUAACAGCGUAAUUUUUUUUUUUAGUUCAAAUAGGAAAAAAAGUUUGCGACCUCGAUGUUGGAUUAAGAUAAAAUUUAAAUGCAAAAG
rnacentral:rRNA from 1 species